rnacentral:misc_RNA from 1 species
GAAAUGCGAUAAGUAAUGUGAAUUGCAGAAUUCAGUGAAUCAUCGAAUCUUUGAACGCACAUUGCGCCCCCUGGUAUUCCGGGGGGCAUGCCCGUUCGAGCGUCAUUUCACCACUCAAGCCUCGCUUGGUAUUGGGCGACGCGGUCCGCCGCGCGCCUCAAAUCGACCGGCUGGGUCUUUCGUCCCCUCAGCGUUGUGGAAACUAUUCGCUAAAGGGUGCCGCGGGAGGCCACGCCGUAAAACAACCCCAUUUCUAAGGUUGACCUCGGAUCAGGUAGGGAUACCCGCUGAACUUAAGC